rnacentral:tRNA from 2 species
AUCUAAAUAGUUUAAGUUAAAAUAUUGGUUUGUGGUGCCGAUGAUAUAUAAAUAUAUUUUGGAUU